AAGAGUCAAAUGGAGUCCAGCGUUAGUGAGAUUAUAUGUUAUGUGGUAUAUAAUGUUGGAUGUCAACUCCCCAAAACCAUAAAACUUACUUUAAUGGCCUCACGUGACGUUUUAUAGCCAGUGAGCCGAUCUGUCUGUGCUAUGGAUGAUUUUACGAUCUAAUUCAUAGACAAAACCCUAUUCAUUUGGCACCCAAAUGUCAUAUAGCCGGAACUGGGGCUUAUAAAGUUUACUGUUUUAUAACUUUUAAAAGGAAAGACGGCAUCAGUGUAAGCAGUCGGUAAAUGUGCAAAUCUCUAGUUGCGCUUUAGCUGCUCUGAGGAGUUUCCCAAUCGAGCUAGGAUGGGAAUUCCACCCACGCACCUAUUCCCUCUCCCAGCGCUUCAGACACCUCUCUCAUCGAAAAACCGGGCGAAAGGAAGCCGUCAACGAGCGGAGAACUCUGGCUGAAUUAGUAAGUUUUUCUCUGUUUCUCCCUUUUACCUUUCUCUCUGAAACCAAUUCCCUCGGAGUAGAAGGUGCUGUGCUGAUGCUAAUAAAAUGACUGUGGAUUAAUGCACUUUGCCCUCACCUCUUCCCACCUUCCCAGGUCAAGAACGGUUUCCUGUUGUUGGGGAAUCCAACAAAACCAAAUAGGGCCAUGAAUGAAAACAUAAAAAUCCAAACCCAAGGGAAUAGCGGGGAACACAGUGUGCCGGGCCACUUCCUUUUGGGCUUCACGGGGUCGCUGGGGAAGGGGAGAGAGACGACCCAAGGGAUGCUGCCCUGUGCCUGGGCGCUGUGCCACGGAGGGCCGAGGGAAGGCGGGCACUUACUGCCAAGGCGAGCCAGGGAGGGGAGAGAAAGGGAGUGGUGUGUGUGCGUGUGUGCGCGCGUGUGUGUGCCUGUGUGUGUGACGUGUGUGUGCUGUAGUGUGUGAUGGGGGCGAGUGUGAAUGGGUGAGUAUGGUAAGGGGGAGUGUGCCCCUCUUAAAGCCUCCCUGGGUGCCCUCUCCCACCGCUGCUGCCGCCGGCUGUCACCUCACCACCUUUACUCCUAUCUCCUCCCCACAUGUCUCACCUUCAGACGGCGACUCCCAGAAGCUCCUGCCCCUGUGACAUCUGUCGCUUGGGCAGCCCGAAAGACGAAUUGUCCUCCUUCCUGGUGCCAGAGGACGCAGGAAAUUAGCCAGGUUGCGAGUUGCAAAGCUGCCGCCGCGGCGCCAGGAACGGGGCGCGCCCCAUCUCCAGCGGGAGCCGCCAGGCCUGGCCUGGCCGGGGCUUCCCUUCGCUCGCCAUCUCCGGACAAAGCGCAGCCGAGCCAGGCUCGAAGGCAGAGCUCCGAAGCAGGCAGGACGGAGCGGAGCAAAAGAAUGCGGCUCUAUUCUCGCAAGGGAAAUUAUAAAAAAGUUCAUGUUCACGGUUCUCAUCCACAUGACCGACAGCGGCCAAUGGAAGGGCCGAACAACUCAUAAAGUUGUAUUGCAAAGUUGUAAAUUUUCAUAAACAACAACGGAUUUAUGACCCUUUCCCCAUCACUGAGAGGAGGCAGCUCUUACACCGGCGCCAUCUUACCACCGAGGCCGCCCAGACUUGGGGCCUCAGGUUUUACAGACCCUUUUGGGCCCGGUUUUACUAAAAGAGCCAUAAGAAGCGGACCCAACCCAGGCAGAAGACUGGAGACAAGGUCUUGCAGGCGGAACUUAGGAUGCUCUGAGCUGCCCGCACAAUCCCUCGCCCUUCGCCCCUCGCCCCUUCGCUGCACCCAGAUGCCCCAGCCCCUGCCCAGGCUGCGCAGCCCAGCGAGGGUCUGCGGUCCUAGCCCCUCCCCGCGCCACCUACAGCAGUGCGGGACCCUGGGGCGCCCUUGCCUCGCCUGCAGGCGGGGUGGGGGCCUUAAAUCCCAUUUCCUAGCCUGGGGCUGGGUUCAGGGCGCAUGCGAAAUCCCUAAUCAGCCUCUGGAUAAUGCCCCUUUCCAAGCCCACUGCGCAGCCUUAGAGGAAAGGGUGGAUUUGAAAUUUCCUCAUGGAAUUUAUGGAGAUUUUUAGGGAGCUUCAUAGAAUAUAACGUAUCUGCCAGAGAUUCCGUUUUCAAGGGAUCUAGAAGAUGUUAGUGCACACACAAAAACCAGACAAACGUCUCUACACGGAUAAAGGCACAUGUACAAUUAUGCACACAGGGAAGGGCAUACACUCUAUUGUGGGCACAGAAUGACAUGCAAUUAUGGACACACAGAAACACAUGCACCCAUUUAUGGACACCAAAAUAUACACAAUUGUGAAAUUAGGUAAAAACACACACACAGAAAUACAUAAACAAAAAUAAGCACAUACUCAUACAAAUACACACAUAAAAAUACAUUAAAAAAUACAUGACACCAAUACAUGAGCAUCCAACACUUGGACCAUCACAAGGACAGCCACCCCACUUUUGCUUCCCCACUGACCCUUUCCCUCCAGCCAUGCUCACUUCCCCUUUCCCAGUCUCCUCUGGAUAAGGUAGUCCACGUUUUUCUUUGUCACCAAGCAUCUUUAUUUUUCAGUUACAUAAAACACAGCUGGGCUGGGAAGUGUGUCUUCCCUGAACCCCAGGAUGGAGCUGAGGGGGAUACAGGACAACACAGGAGAUGAAGGGCAUUGCGGAGGGCAUUGGACCUCCCCACCCACUACAGUUAGCUCAAGACAACAUACCAUGCUACAAAGUCACCCCAUUAACACAUCCUUUCCAAGUCAAGACACUGCCUUACAAAUGAACUCCAAGACUAUAGAAACGAUCAAACAAAAAAAUCUUGUUCAAAUAUACAGUAUCUGCUAUUAUAGGAAAUGUCAGGGCGUACAUAUUUAACACAGCUGAACAGUAAGAUACAGGAGCCAGAGGAAAGGACAGCGAAGCUGGGAGCAUCUCCACAGUCCUACUAAGCAGAAGCUAACCCAGAGAUCUGCAGCCAGCUCAGGAACAUUCCCCUCCAGAAGCGGGGGUUGAUGGGCCUGAACUUUGGGUGCCAAGCCAGAGAAGGAGGGAUUGAUUCUAGGGUGCAGCACUUAGAAUGCUUUUUGGAAUAAAUAUAUUAUUUUUCAAUUUAAAUAGAUGCCAAUACCCUGAUCCUGGACCUCAGCACAUUCUCAGGGCAGCCUCAGGGACCCCAAAACCUGCGGGCUGUAAGCAGCAGGGGCCUUGUCUGGGAGCAGUCGGCACUAGGUAGCAGGCAAGCCAGCCAGCACAAAAUAGGUAGUUUUAGGGGAGUAGGUAGUAGUGAGAUUCACGUUCUUGCCGAUCUGGGAGGGUGGUGCUGGGUGUCUGCCAGUGCUGGGAUACAUAGGGGCUUCCUGGGAAUGGAGGCCCUCUGAGCUGGAUACAUAGGUAGUUUGGGGGUGCCUCGAGCAGAGGCCUGUGCUAGGUAGUAUUUUGGCCGCGCCAGCGCAGGGCCGGCUGACCUGGGGUUGGGGGUGUCUUUUGGGGUCCUUGGAGGCAGAGGGAAUCCAAGGCGACCCAGUCGCUGCCGCCGCUCAAUCCACAAAAGUUGGGAGCUGGAGUAGGUGAUGGGGGCUGGGUGGAGUGCAGGUUGGGGACUGUUUUGUUUGUUCGUUGUUUUUUUUUUUUUUUUCUUGUUUUUUUUUUACAUUUUCUUUUAUUUUCCCCAUUUUUGUAAAUAAAACCAGUGAGUCUCUUAAAGACGCUUUUCCGACUGUCCGGUGCAGCGAGGGCCCGGCUCGGCCCCUCAUUCCUCCUCGUCUUCCUCUUCUUCAUCAUCGUCCUCCUCGUCAGCCUUGUCCGCGGCAGCGGUAGCGGCGGCAGAGGGCACGGCGCCCUCGGGAGCUGCUGCGGCAGCCGGACCUUCGUCCUUAUGCUCUUUCUUCCACUUCAUGCGGCGAUUCUGGAACCAGAUCUUGAUCUGGCGCUCGGUGAGGCAGAGCGCGUGGGCGAUUUCAAUGCGGCGGCGCCGCGUCAGGUAGCGGUUGAAGUGGAACUCCUUCUCCAGCUCCAGUGUCUGGUAGCGCGUGUAGGUCUGGCGGCCCCGCUUCCUGUCAGGUCCUGAGAACAGACAUGCAGACACAGGAACACACGGACAGACAAGUAGACAGGGCACUCGUUAGGCUGCUGUCCCAGAGCCCACACCUUCCUCUUGGCCUAGUCCCAGGCGAGCAUCCCCCUCCGCCCCAGGCCCCAAACUGAGCUAGGGGAGGAGGGGGGGUGUUAGGGAAAGACCCCAACUGCAGUGCCAGACUCGCAGGCAGCUCUGUAAUCAGCAAAGUCACAGAAUCCCAACUUUACAACCGCCUUUUCCAGCCGGCUAAGCUUCCACAAUGUCCUGCUUCCCCUGACAAAGGAAAACUGUAAAUAUAGAGUGUGGGCAAGUGGGAAAAGCUGCACUUUUGCCAUUCAAAGAUGAGCCCGGCCAUUCCCCCACCUUGCUAGGCAAGUGGGCGACCCUUCCCAGCAGCCUGAGACCUCAAUCCCCAGGACCUUCCUAGGGUACCCCGACCCUCUGGCCUCAUUCCCUCGCCCCCAUCUUGAAAUGGCCCCUGGCACAGGGUCGGGUGAGAGGCCUUGGAGGGCUUGGCUCUCCCAGCUUUUGAGGAAGAAAAGCCAGGCAGCAAGGAAAAGGAGGAGGAAGAGAAGAAAGGGAGGGAGGGUGACAGAAGAGGGAGAAAGAGAGAAUAGCGAACAAACUUAAUGUUAAAAUUCCAAGGCAAAUGGAGUUAAAUAAAUUUACGAGGAUCGAACCCAUUAA